UUUAGUAUGUUGACUGAUUCAUAGGGUAAUGUUAUGAUAGUGACCGGCUAGACCGGUAUCUUGUUAGAGUAAUGCUAUGAUAUGUGAUCUGUUGAUCGAUUGUUGUCUAUGAACUGCUAUAUGAUUGUUUGUUAUUUUAUAUAUGCAUUUUAUGCUUAUGGGCCGGAAGGCAAUAUGUUAUGGGCCGGAAGGCGAUAUGUUAUGGGCCGGAAGGCAAUAUGUUAUGGGCCGGAAGGCGAUUAUGUUGUGUGAUGGACCGGAAGGUCGGCGUGGGUAGGACCGGAAGGUUUACCCAGCAGGGACGGAAGUCCCCUGAGACACAUGGACCGGAAGGUCAGGGCCUGGAAAGGCGUAUAUGUGGUUGGUAUUCUGGGGGUAUCUCACUAAGCUUUCGGGCUUACAGUUGUGGUUUUAUGUUUCAGGUUCUCAAGAGUCUGUGGCAAGGCAAAGGCGUGAUCGUACCAUUCCUCGCGUUGGUGUUUUAUGAUAUGAACCUGGGAAAAUACUUUGUUAAAUAAUGUAUUGAAAACCUUUUUGUAACAACGUUAUUAAAAUGAGUGGUUUUUGAAAAGUUUUAAUUGUUUCGAAAUUUCGGACGUUACAGCGAGGUUGGGGCGCAUAAGGUUGGUUUAAAUAGGGUGCAAACCCUUGAAAUUUAGGGUUUCAUCAGACAGCGGGGACUCACCGAGUCCAGAAUGUGGACUCGCCGAGUCGCCAACUUAAACGUGCCCCCA
rnacentral:lncRNA from 1 species